ensembl:antisense Ube4bos1 ubiquitination factor E4B, opposite strand 1
AAGUACAUUACCACAUACCCCAGGGCCUACUCUGAAACCCACCUGUAUAGAACUUCAUGAGGGACGGCACCAGCAGUUUGGUAGAGAGAGGAUGGUUCUCAAUCAUCUCAAAGAACUUCUGAGUUCUCGGCUGGACAGAAGGGUUGGUCAUGAACAUGACCUCCACCAGCUUGGCCACUAGCAUCAACAGUUCUGUGCUACUCUCAAGCAAAAUAUCUGUCUGCAACAUCUCAGAGGGCCGCCUGCCAGAGGAGACACACAGAGCCACAUCUCAGAGGGCCUCCUGCCAGAGGAGAGGCACAGAGGCCACAUCUCAGAGGGCCGCCUGCCAGAGGAGAGGCACAGAGGCCACAUCUCAGAGGGCCACCUGCCAGAGGAGACACACAGAGCCACAUCGUGCAAGUGGAUGUUGAGCUUCUUACAGACCCCUUAGUCACAACAAUGGAAUAUAAGGGAGGCUACAGAUCUGAAAGAAGAGCUCCGGUCAUUCUGCAUCCUGACGUUCGAAGCGAUGAGGAUGAGAGGGCCAGGCCCACGUCACUCACAGAGCUCUGUCAGCCGCUCAUUCACAUCCUCCAUCGUUGCAUUUAUCCGUGUCUCAUCAUUCGGGAGAGUGAUCCGACAUCUUGGGUGGAAUAUGUAUAUGCCUCCUGAGUGCUCGGCAGCACCUGUGAAGGCAGAAGAGGGAAAUCCUCUGGAGCCGGAGUUCCAGGCUGUCCUGCAAACCACACUCGAGCCAUGCGGAAGAGCAUCAGACACUCCUGACUGCUAAGCUGUCUUCCCAGCCCCAAUCCUAUGUUGCGUCUCCAUUUAUUAUUACUGUGUGUGUGUGUCCGGGGAAAGGGGGAGUAGAGUAUGUAUGUGGGAUCUCUCUCUCAUCUUGACGUGGGUUCCAGUUGUCAGGCCUGAACAGCAAGCAUCUAGUAACUCAAGAGCAAGCUAUCUCAUGAUGCUUGAUGUUCAAAUCCCAAGUAUGGCUUGCUUGUUGUUCUGUAAACCAGCAAGAUGCCUCUGACAGUCAUCCUUUGUGCUGGCUCCCCAGAAUAGCAAGGCACAUUCCCACAGUGCCUCACUCGCUGCUGUCUAGGACUGGCAGUGGCGGGGCAUGGAAAGCUGCCAAUACACUAGGGUGGCUCAGGACACAGUCACACAAGUGUCUGGCCUACAGCAGGGUCUCAGGUUUUACAUCUGAAGGUGAGAGUGAUCUACACUUGUAAUCUCAGCACUCGAGAGGAGGGCGCAGGGCCAUGAGCUAACGCAGACAUGAGACUGUGUCUCAAGAAAGG